GAUGAAGAACGCAGCGAAAUGCGAUACUUGGUGUGAAUUGCAGAAUCCCGUGAACCAUCGAGUCUUUGAACGCAAGUUGCGCCCGAAGCCAUUAGGCCGAGGGCACGCCUGCCUGGGCGUCACACGUCGUUGCCCCCCCAUCUACUCCUUCGGGAUUGCGGGGGGCGGAUGAUGGCCUCCCGUGCGCCUCGUCGCGCGGUUGGCAUAAAUGCCAAGUCCUCGGCGACGCACGCCACGACAAUCGGUGGUUGCGAAACCUCGGUUGCCCGUCGUGUGCGGUCGUCGCGCAUCGAGGGCUCGAAAAAAUUGCCGGGUUCCGGCUCGGCUUUCAACGCGACCCCAGGUCAGGCGGGGUUACCCGCUGAAUUUAAGCAUAUCAAUAAGCGGAGGA
rnacentral:misc_RNA from 1 species